rnacentral:rRNA from 1 species
GAUGAACGCUGGCGGCGUGCCUAACAUAUGCAAGUCGAGCGAACCCUUCGGGGUGAGCGGCAGACGGGUGAGUAACGCGUGGGUAACCUGCCCUGUACACACGGAUAACAUACCGAAAGGUAUGCUAAUACGAGAUAACAUAUUUUAAUCGCAUGGUUAAGAUAUCAAAGCUCCGGCGGUACCGGUUGGACCCGCGUCUGAUUAGUUAGUUGGUGAGGUAAUGGCUCAUCAAGGCGACGACCAGUAGCCGACCUGAGAGGGUGAUCGGCCACACUGGUACUGAGACACGG